AAAAUUAAUGGAGUAAGUGAAGAUGGUUUCAAGCUUCGCUUGUUUCCAUUUUCACUUGGAGAUAAAGCCCAUCUGUGGGAAAAGACGCUACCCCAGGGAUCAAUCACGACCUGGGAUGACUGCAAAAAGGUCUUCUUGGAAAAAUUCUUCUCCAACUCCAGGACUGCAAGACUCUGGAACGAGAUAUCCGGAUUCACUCAGAAGCAAAAUGAAAGCUUCUGUGAAGCUUGGGAGCGCUUUAAGGGUUAUCAAACCAAAUGCCCUCAUCACGGAUUUAAGGAAGCAUCUCUUCUCAGCACACUUUACAGAGGCGUCCUACCUAAGAUACGUAUGCUCCUUGACACCGCCUCCAAUGGGAAUUUCCUGAACAAGGAUGUCGAAGACGGAUGGGAGCUAGUUGAAAACUUGGCUCAGUCGGAUGGCAAUUACAACGAAGAUUAUGACAGAAGCAUCCCCACCAGUACUGAAUCUGAUGACAAGCACCGGCGAGAGAUUAAAGCUCUCCAUGAAAAAAUCGACAAACUCCUCCAAGUGCAGCAGAAGCAUGUUCACUCCGCCUCUGAAGACGAAGUAUUCCAAAUCCAAGAGGGGGAGAAUGAUCAGGACGCUGAAAUCAGUUAUGUUCAGAACCAAGGCGGCUACAACAAAGGGUACAACAAUUACAGACCCAACCCAAAUCUGACAUACAGAAGCACAAAUGUCGCCAAUCCUCAGAACCAAGUUUACCCUCAACAGCACAGCAGAACCAAACCAAACCGUUUGUUCCUUACAACCAAAGCCAAGGGUUCGUUCCUACUGAUAAU
rnacentral:sRNA from 1 species